AAUGACUCCCUUGAGAGUCCUAUUCCCCUUUCAUCAAUGCACAGACCCAGAAGACCCCUCCAUCCUGGAGCACCUGCCAUGAGCAUCAGCCUCCUGUGCUGUGCAGCCUUUUCUCUCCUGUGGGCAGGUCCAGUGAAUGCUGGCGUCACUCAGACCCCAAAAUUCCAGGUCCUGAAGACAGGACAGAGCAUGACACUGCAGUGUGCGCAGAAUAUGAACCAUGACUACAUGUACUGGUAUCGACAGGACCCAGGCAUGGGGCUGAAGCUGAUUCAUUACUCAGUUGGUGCUGGUAUCACUGGUAAAGGAGAAGUCCCCGAUGGCUACAAUGUCUCCAGAUCAAACACAGAGGAUUUCCCGCUCAGGCUGGAGUCGGCUGCUGCCUCCCAGACAUCUGUGUACUUCUGUGCCAGCAGUUACUCCACAGCGCUACAAGGGUUUCCCCCAAACCCACCCUCCUGUGGCCCACCUUUCCCAUCUCCGCAGUCAUCCUCCACCCCCCACUUCCCUGCCCCUCUCUACUGCAGCCAUGAGGGCAGUGCCUCUCUGUGA